rnacentral:rRNA from 1 species
AUACGGAGGGUCCAAGCGUUAUCCGGAUUUAUUGGGUUUAAAGGGUCCGUAGGCGGAUUUUUAAGUCAGUGGUGAAAGCCUGCAGCUCAACUGCAGAACUGCCAUUGAUACUGGAAAUCUUGAGUGUAUUUGAAGUGGGCGGAAUGUGUCAUGUAGCGGUGAAAUGCAUAGAUAUGACACAGAACACCGAUUGCGAAGGCAGCUCACUAAACUACAACUGACGCUGAGGGACGAAAGCGUGGGGAGCGAACAGGAUUAGAAACCCCGGUAGUCC